rnacentral:pre_miRNA from 9 species
UCUCGAUAGCGUAAAAGUUAACUCAAAUAUGUAUGGAGUUGGAACAUUUGCUUACGUUUGCCGCUAGGGGCACUGUUCCAACAUGCAUGCAUACAAAUUUGAGUUAACUUUUACGGUAUCGA